rnacentral:sRNA from 1 species
UUCAAGGUCGCGAUGCCAGCGACAGAGC